UACGUAGGCAGCGAGCGUUGUUCGGAGUUACUGGGCGUAAAGGGUGUGUAGGCGGUUGUUUAAGUUUGGUGUGAAAUACUCCCGGCCUCAACUGGGAGGGUGGCGCCGAAUACUGAAUGACUUCGAGUGCGGGAGGAGGAGAGUGGAAUUCCUGGUGUAGCGGUGAAAUGCGUAGAUAUCAGGAGGAACACCGGUGGUGUAGACGGCUCUCUGGACCGUAACUGACGCUGAGACACGAAAGCGUGGGUAGCAAACAGG
rnacentral:rRNA from 1 species